CUGCAGGAGGAUGUGGGUGUAGCGAAGCUGGUGGAGAUCUUCUGCGCUGAAAGUUUCAACAAGAAGGCGAAGUUCCACCACCUUGGUCCUCUGCUGUCCAACCUGACGCAGCUACCCGAGGCCCGGAGCUUCAUGAUGGACAAGGACCGGUGUGUGAUCCAGAGGUUGUUUUCCUACACUCAGUACCAGGCAUCAGUGGUGAGGAGGGGGGGGGUCGUUGGGACCCUGCGCAACUGCUGCUUUGACCACGCCCAUCAUGAGUGGUUGCUAAGCGACGAUGUGGACAUCCUGCCCUUCCUGAUGCUGCCGCUGGCCGGACCAGAGGAGCUGACGGAGAAAGAAAACGAAGGUGAGG